UGGGGAAUAUUGCACAAUGGAGGGAACUCUGAUGCAGCGACGCCGCGUGAACGAAGAAGGCUUUCGAGUCGUAAAGUUCUUUUAUAUGGGAAGAUAAUGACGGUACCAUAAGAAAAAGCCCCGGCUAACUACGUGCCAGCAGCCGCGGUAAUACGUAGGGGGCUAGCGUUGUCCGGAAUCGCUGGGCGUAAAGGGUUCGCAGGCGGAAAUGCAAGUCAGGUGUAAAAGGCAGUAGCUUAACUACUGUAAGCAUUUGAAACUGCAUAUCUUGAGAAGAGUAGAGGUAAGUGGAAUUUUUAGUGUAGCGGUGAAAUGCGUAGAUAUUAAAAAGAAUACCGGUGGCGAAGGCGACUUACUGGGCUCAUUCUGACGCUGAGGAACGAAAGCGUGGGUAGCAAACAGG
rnacentral:rRNA from 1 species